AGCGCGGGGCUGGCGGGGCAGGUGCUGCGGCAAGCGCUACCUGUGCGCCCACCGCGGAGAUCUGGCCCCACGGCACCCGCGGGCGGGCCGCCUAGUUAGAGCGCCAAGGGCGUUCCCGCACCCAGCUAGUGUGGUUUGUGCCCCCGCGGACUGCGGACCGGUCGCCGCAGCUUGGCAGCCCAGGCACCCGCACGACUCCGGUGACUUGCUGGGCUUCCAGGUAGCGGCAAGGCACAGCCUGAAGCUGGCCCAUCUGACCUUUGAGCCUGGCCUCUCUGCCGCCAGGAAAGGAGGCAUUCUCUCUGGGUCUCACGGAAGCAGUGAGCAGACUCACCCCCAGGCCUGACCGUCCGAGGGAAUGGUGGCUCCACACAUGGACCAUACACACCCUGGCCUCUUCACCUGCACAUUUCUCAUCAGCUAGACACGGUGAAGAGUAAGCUCUGGUGAUGCCUAAGAGAUUCUAACAGAUUGCCAGACAGACAUCAGACAAGGAAAGACAAAAUCCUGCCAAGACACACGCGGGACUACUGAUCCAUCGGAGUUCAGGACAACCUUCAAGAUGAGAAAACAGAAGCAAGGAAAAGAAGUGACUUCCUCAUCCAUCGUUCACUUUUCCAACUCCAGCCUCCAGCCUCAAUUCAGGGCAGAGCUUCCAGUCAGUGUUAAUAAAU